GGCUCGAACGCCGAACGAAUACAGGGGAAACUUUGUAGCCAGCAAUGGCGGUCGGCGAGGUGCUGCAUGGUUGUCGUCAGCUCGUGCCGUGAGGUGUCGGCUUAAGUGCCAUAACGAGCGCAACCCCUAUCAGUAGUUGCCAGCGGGUUAAGCCGGGGACUCUACCGAGACUGCCAGCGCAAGCUGCGAGGAAGGCGGGGAUGACGUCAAAUCAGCACGGCCCUUACGUCUGGGGCGACACACGUGUUACAAUGGCCGGUACAGAGGGCAGCCACCCCGCGAGGGGGCGCGAAUCUCCAAAGCCGGUCGUAGUUCGGAUCGGAGGCUGAAACCCGCCUCCGUGAAGCUGGAUUCGCUAGUAAUCGCAUAUCAGCCAUGAUGCGGUGAAUACGUUCCCGGGCCUUGUACACACCGCCCGUCAAACCAUGGGAGCUGGGGGGACCUGAAGUGCGCGACCGCAAGGAGCGCCCUAGGGUAAAACCGGUGACUGGGGUUAAGUCGUAACAAGGUAACC
rnacentral:rRNA from 1 species